UAAAACGAAAAUCCGUUGGUUUCACGGRACCGUGAGGGUUCRAAUCCCUCUAUCCCCAGC
rnacentral:tRNA from 1 species